CACAGCCACGGUAAUACGGAGGGUGCAAGCGUUAAUCGGAAUUACUGGGCGUAAAGCGCACGCAGGCGGUUUGUUAAGUCAGAUGUGAAAUCCCCGAGCUUAACUUGGGAACUGCAUUUGAAACUGGCAAGCUAGAGUCUUGUAGAGGGGGGUAGAAUUCCAGGUGUAGUGGUGAAAUGCGUAGAGAUCUGGAGGAAUACCGGUGGCGAAGGCGGCCCCCUGGACGAAGACUGACGCUCAGGUGCGAAAGCGUGGGGAGCAAACAGGAUUAGAUACCCCGGUAGUCCCUGUCUCUUAUACA
rnacentral:rRNA from 1 species